rnacentral:rRNA from 1 species
UUAUUGGAGAGUUUGAUCCUGGCUCAGGACGAACGCUGGCGGCGUGCCUAAUACAUGCAAGUCGAGCGAAUCUGAGGGAGCUUGCUCCCAAAGAUUAGCGGCGGACGGGUGAGUAACACGUGGGCAACCUGCCUGUAAGACUGGGAUAACUUCGGGAAACCGGAGCUAAUACCGGAUAAUCCUUUUCUACUCAUGUAGAAAAGCUGAAAGAUGGCUUCGGCUAUCACUUACAGAUGGGCCCGCGGCGCAUUAGCUAGUUGGUGAGGUAACGGCUUACCAAGGCGACGAUGCGUAGCCGACCUGAGAGGGUGAUCGGCCACACUGGGACUGAGACACGGCCCAGACUCCUACGGGAGGCAGCAGUAGGGAAUCUUCCGCAAUGGACGAAAGUCUGACGGAGCAACGCCGCGUGAGUGAUGAAGGUUUUCGGAUCGUAAAACUCUGUUGUUAGGGAAGAACAAGUACCGUUCGAAUAGGGCGGUACCUUGACGGUACCUAACCAGAAAGCCACGGCUAACUACGUGCCAGCAGCCGCGGUAAUACGUAGGUGGCAAGCGUUGUCCGGAAUUAUUGGGCGUAAAGCGCGCGCAGGUGGUUUCUUAAGUCUGAUGUGAAAGCCCCCGGCUCAACCGGGGAGGGUCAUUGGAAACUGGGAGACUUGAGUGCAGAAGAGGAAAGUGGAAUUCCAAGUGUAGCGGUGAAAUGCGUAGAGAUUUGGAGGAACACCAGUGGCGAAGGCGACUUUCUGGUCUGUAACUGACACUGAGGCGCGAAAGCGUGGGGAGCGAACAGGAUUAGAUACCCUGGUAGUCCACGCCGUAAACGAUGAGUGCUAAGUGUUAGAGGGUUUCCGCCCUUUAGUGCUGCAGCAAACGCAUUAAGCACUCCGCCUGGGGAGUACGGCCGCAAGGCUGAAACUCAAAGGAAUUGACGGGGCCCGCACAAGCGGUGGAGCAUGUGGUUUAAUUCGAAGCAACGCGAAGAACCUUACCAGGUCUUGACAUCCUCUGACAAUCCUAGAGAUAGGACGUUCCCCUUCGGGGGACAGAGUGACAGGUGGUGCAUGGUUGUCGUCAGCUCGUGUCGUGAGAUGUUGGGUUAAGUCCCGCAACGAGCGCAACCCUUGAUCUUAGUUGCCAGCAUUCAGUUGGGCACUCUAAGGUGACUGCCGGUGACAAACCGGAGGAAGGUGGGGAUGACGUCAAAUCAUCAUGCCCCUUAUGACCUGGGCUACACACGUGCUACAAUGGAUGGUACAAAGGGCUGCAAGACCGCGAGGUUUAGCCAAUCCCAUAAAACCAUUCUCAGUUCGGAUUGCAGGCUGCAACUCGCCUGCAUGAAGCCGGAAUCGCUAGUAAUCGCGGAUCAGCAUGCCGCGGUGAAUACGUUCCCGGGCCUUGUACACACCGCCCGUCACACCACGAGAGUUUGUAACACCCGAAGUCGGUGGGGUAACCGCAAGGAGCCAGCCGCCUAAGGUGGGACAGAUGAUUGGGGUGAAGUCGUAACAAGGUAGCCGUAUCGGAAGGUGCGGCUGGAUCACCUCCUUU